rnacentral:piRNA from 2 species
CAACGAGACAGCUGCAGAUUACUGCAAC